GAGCCACAAUCGCGCAACGACAUUUCUUUGGAAAUUUCAUAGGGAUUUGAAAGACAAAACAAUCCCCUGCCGUGCUGUGUCUCUGGAACUUGUUCAGCGCACGGAAAACGAGGGCGAAGGAAUUUUUCGUGGAAAUUUACGGUAUAAAUUCAGUUAAUGGUUGUGUCGACGGAAAUUGAAGGAGAACACUGAAACAGAGAGAACAUGCCAGGUGACGACAAUGCAGUUGGAACGGAGACAAAUGAAGAUAAGCCAACUACAUCAAAUGCAGUCACCGCAGAAAAUCCGUCGAGAGGUGAUGAGUCGCAGCAACAGCAACAACAACCGCAGCAGCAACAGAAAAGGGGCGAAGAUGCUGAUAAAUACGCCGCUUCGGUAGCUGAAGUUGCACAUGGUGGUGGUGGACCAAAGAAAGAUGAUCAAGUACCCCCUGCUCCUGAUGCUUCCAUGCCUACUCCUCAACAGCAGCAACAACAACCAAAUUUACCUCCACCUCAACAACCAUAUGAGCAUCCAGCGCAGCAACACCCUCCACAGCAUCAUAGUGUACCUCCGAACAGUUUUGCACCACCACCGGGACAGCAUCAUCCGCAACAUCCCGGUAUGCCACCAAUGGAAUGGAGACCUCCAGGAGCAGAAUAUCAAAUGCCACCAGGUUAUCCAGCAGGAUAUCCUCCGUACGGAAUGCCUCCACGACAUCAUCCUGGUUAUCCACAUCCUGCAUAUGGAUACCCGCCGCCUGGUGCUCCAUAUGGAUAUCCUCCUCAAAUGAUGAGGCCACCAAUGAUGGCUCCAGGAGAUAUGGUCAGAAUGCCACCUGGUCCAACGCCAACGGAAUGGGCCGCUCAGCAACAAGCACAAGCAGCAUCGCGUAGUGUGCCACCAAAAGAAGGUCCGAACGGAAAUCCAGCUACACCUUCUUCAUCUUCUCAGCCGAUACCGUCUCCUUCGGCAUCCUCAAUUGCUGAAGAAUCAUUAGAUGAUAAGCCAAGUGGUACAAAAAUGCCUGCUCAGCCACCACCACAACAACAUCCACCACCACCACAGCCACAACAAAUUAUGUCACCGAUGCCUCCACAAGCUCCACCAUCGCAACAGGCAACACCUAGUUCGUCAGCAGCUUCUGUGGCUGCUCCCGAUACGCCAAAAGUGUCUGGAAAGGUUCUGAGCAAGGCGGAGCUGUUUGAGAAGCUUGUCGGACCGAUAACUCUUCACAAUCCGAUGAAAGUGAUGGCGGAGAGAAGGGGAUUUUUCGAGCGACUGAUAGAGUUCUGCGAGCAUAACGGAGAGCCCCUUACUAUGGUUCCACAAGUUUCAAAACAAAGUAUCGAUCUUCAUCGACUAUACAUUGGUGUCAGAGCGAAAGGAGGGUUUCAGCAAGUUACAAAAGACAAAUAUUGGAAGAAUUUGUGCACCGAAGCGAAUCCUGAUCUCGCUGAAUCGUCAGCCGCAGGAUAUCAGCUUAGAAAGCACUAUCAACGGCAUUUACUAAUGCUAGAAUGUCGAGAAACCGGGAGAAAUCCGGAGGAUGAGGUUGCUUUUGCGGAUAAAAUGAAACGACAAAGGAAACGAGAACCGGCCGGUGGAAACGCUGCAGCUGCAGCAGCAGUUGCCGCGGCUCAACAAGGAGAUCAGAAGUCGCAACAUGGAGCUCCGGGAGGUAGUGGAGCACCACCACCUGGACCACCAGGAGCUUAUCCAGGAAAUGGAGCACCAGGUGGACCACCAGGAGGGCCACCUCAGUUCCCUGGACAUCCUGGAAUGGAUCCGAAUUAUCACUAUUACCAGCAACAUGGUAUGAUGCCACCACAUCCUGGUCAUCCUGGAUACCCACCACAACAUAUGAAUGCUUUCUCCCCUGGUCAAUAUCCAGGACAUCAGAGGCCUCCAGGUGGACCUGGGGGUCCUCCACCGGGACCUCAAGCUAUGAGAGCACCAAUGCCACAGCAUAUGCAAGAAAUGGAUGAACAUCAAAGACAGUGGUAUGCUCAUCAACAAGCCGCUGCCGCACAUCAUCAUGCUCAGCAACAAGCUGCUGCUCAGGCUCAAGCUGCUCAAGCUCAACAAGCAUCUACUCCGGCUCCAUCAACGACACCAGCUCCUCAGGCAGCAUCUUCGUCGCAAGCUGCACCAACCAGUGGCGCCAAUACUCAACCAGCAACUCCAUCAGCUUCAAAUCAACCACCGACGCCUGCUUCUGCGUCAGCCUCAACAACAUUGCACGUCGAACCAGCAUCAGUCGCCGGAGGAAGUCAAGCAGGCAGUCGAGCUCCCAGUGCUGGCCCCGGACCGAGUGCAACACCGGAUAGUUCAACUAUUCCAAGUGCUUCUGCUGCUGCUGAUGCUCAAACAACGACAAGUAGUGAAACAUCAACACCUGGAGAACCAACUUCUAGUACUCCGUCCGAUACGCCUGCUCCGUCGACAAGUGUACCUCCACCAACUUCUGUGCAGCCACCUCAACCUCAACAGCCUCCACAAGGACCGCCAGGACCACCAGGACCUCAACAACAUCCAGGUCCUUAUCCAGGAUAUCCUGGAUAUGGGCCACCGGGUGCUAUGAGACCACCAGCAGGGUUUGCUCCACCCCCAGGAGCACCGUACGGGUAUCCGCCAGGAGCACCACCACCUGCUGGAUUCCAUCCGAGUCAUCCUCAACAUCCUCAACAUGCACAAUAUCUCGCAUGGCAACAACAACGGUAUCAUCAACAACAACAACAUCAGCAACAACAGCAGCAAGGAGCUCCUGGAGGACCACGACCACCAUAUCCAUAUCCAGGUGGACCAGUGCCACCAGGUCCCCCACAAAAUCGUAUGCCACCGCCGCCACCGGCUCAGGGAGCACCGUCUCCAUCUGGUGCUGCAGGAUCCAAUGGGAAGCAACCGAGAUAUGGAACUCCGGCUCCACCGUCUCGAGCAUCAGCGCCAACUCCGCAACCGCUCUCUUCUACAAUGCCCGUUGUUGCACCAUCUACAUCAACUCAGCCGACUCCCACGACAGGAAGUUAUCUUGCGAACACGUUGGCGACUCCAGGGCCAGCACAUGCACCAUCUUCAUCAAUGUCCCAUGCGCAUCACGUAAUCAGUCAGCAACAGCAUCAGUAUCCUCCAGGAUGCAUUGAAGCCACUGCAACAUCACAGAAUCAAGUGAAACGGCGGAAAGUUUACGCACGAGAACUGAUCAACGCGACACCACGACGAUUGAUUAUGUCACUUCGUUCGGGACUUGAUGCUGAAGCUAUUUGGGCGAUAAAUGCUUUAAAUGUGUUGCUCUAUGAUGAUACAAAUCCUCAUCCAACACUUCAACAAAUGCCAGGACUAGUUAAUGUUAUUGUUGAGCAUCUUUACGCAACACUUUCCAUUAUGUAUCCGGCCGAAUUUCAACUUACCGAACCUGGAAAACCGAUUAUUAUGGAUGAGUCGAAAGAGACUGUGGAAAAAAUGAUGAAAGCCGAAAAAGAUGGAGGAAUUAAAUCGAUUAUCGAGAAAAUGCCUGUGGUUCCAAGGAAAGGCAGUGAUAAAACUGCAACUUUCACUAUGAUGUCAAGAAAUGGUCUUCAAGUGCAUUUCCGUGAUGAAUCCAUUCCAACUGCUCUUCGAAAACGAUUUUCUCGAGAAAGCGGUGAGAAGAACUCUGAUGCGAUGGUUGAUCAUUCGAUCAGUUCCGCUUAUGUAGAAGAUCGAAAUUCUGUUGGAUUAGGAGGUGGACUCGCUGAACGAAUUGCUACACGUCUUCGAGACAAACUUCUUCACGAAAAGACUCGUCCACGACCUGUCUUCUCCAAAUAUUUGGAUGAUCUCGAAACAGAAUCAACAGAAACGAUUGAUACUGUGGAGGUGAAGAAAGAAAUUGAAGAUGAGGUAGCUGAGGAGAAAAAGGAUGUUCUUCUGAUGCGUGGAGCUCGUCCAGACGAGUUAUCUGAUUGUAAGCAUGAGGUUGAGCUCGCGUGGCCCAGGCCCACUGCACUAUCACCUAAAAGUCAAGCAAUGGAAGAACUUGCUCAUAGAGCACUUGCUCUGUCGAAUAUUCUACGAGGUUUCUCGUUUGUUGCUGGAAGUGAUGUUCUGAUGGCUAGAAAUGAGGCCCUGUUGUUUAUUAUUGGACGGCUUUUAAAGCUAAAUGUCAAGGAGCACAAGAUUUCAUCAAAGCGACCUGGAAUAGUUAUGAGUGCUGAAGAAUUGAAAACUGCACCAAAACAACUGUCAGCAGAUGAAAAACGCGCCAAGGAGAAGUCUGUACUCGAUGAAGUCGAUGCAACGACUGCUCAGAUGGUGGAAACGGCGAAUCAAUUGAGAGAUGAUGCAUUCGUGAUGCUUACUCAUAUGAGUGUCUCGUUGAAUCUUGUUGAUUUGCCUGAUGCGAUUGCAUACCCGAUUUAUGAUGGAUUACUGAGAUGGUCCGUGUCAAGAGUUCCCGAAGCGACAGACUCGUCGAUUCCAUGUCCGGUGUCGCCGAGAGAUUACUCGUUGGAAAUUAUGUGCAAAAUGGUUGUGAUUGAACGAAAUGUCGACAUGUUCCUCUCCACGGGAAGCUGGUCACGUGUCGAACAAUUUGUGCAUAUACUGACGAGAUUGCUCACAAUGAAUGAGGAAACUCAUUAUAGAGAAUUCGCAAUUGUGAUACUGAAUGCUCUUUGCAUCGCUUCUGAAGCUGUAUGUUACAUAUGUGCAAUGGAAACUUCUGCCAUAGCCCAUCUCAUUCUAUUCAUCGAUUCAGCCGAUCAGAAUAUGCAUCAAGUAAUGCAAGCUCAUGGAAUGGCUGCCCUUCGUGACAAUCCAGAACUCAUGGGAACAUCUGUUGGAAUGCUCCGAAGAGCGGCUUCGAUGCUCCGUUUGUUGGUGAAAGUGCCGAAGGCGUACAAGAUUUACAUGAAACAUCAAACUCGCCUUCUACAAUUCACAAUGAGCCAAUUGAUGGAUUCCCGAGUGGCUGGAAUGAUUGCCGACACACUUUACGAAAUUCAAGAAUUUGUCAAAGAGUUUGGCGAAGACGUUCCAGAACCACUGAAAAUCACAUAUUCUGAAGGAUAUCAACCGAGCCAGACGGACGACAAGGAAUCGACAUCUACAAACUCGGAUGCUGCAGCACCACCACAAAAAUCGACGAGUUCUUCGCCCAAGCCAGUCGAAGAAUCAGCAGCGACAACUUCGGUAAAUGUUCACGGGAAUGGUACAUUGGAAUGCGAAACAAGUAGUAGACCAUUGUCGUCAGAAGCUGCAGCGGCCGUCAUUACUCCAUAUGAAAAUCAUCAUAAAAAUGAAGAAGAAGAGGAUUUGAAAAAGGAAAUUGACGAAGGGGAAUCGUGUGAUGGAUAUGAUACAGAAGCUAUUCGAUUAUCGCAAAAACGGUCUGCUGCUGCACUUAUUGAUGAGCAAUCCCGUUCUCCGCCACCAGCGAAAAGAGCCCAUCUUUCCAACGGAUUCGAUAAAUCAAAAUCUUCAGUUUCAACGAACGGAACACUGGGUGAUGCUUCUCAAAAUGAUGGUGCUCUGACGACAGCCGUUGCAUGA
rnacentral:misc_RNA from 1 species